rnacentral:misc_RNA from 1 species
GAUGAAGAACGCAGCGAAAUGCGAUAAGUAAUGUGAAUUACAGAAUUCAGUGAAUCAUCGAAUCUUUGAACGCACAUUGCGCCCGCCAGUAUUCUGGCGGGCAUGCCUGUUCGAGCGUCAUUUCAACCAUCAAGCCCCAGGCUUGUGUUGGAGCCCUGCGGCUGCCGCAGCCUCCCAAAACCAGUGGCGGGCUCGCUAUCACACCGAGUGCAGUAGUUUACUCUUCGCUCAGGGCGUGUGGCGGGUGCUAGCCGUAAAACCCCCAACUUCUCAAGGUUGACCUCGGAUCAGGUAGGAAUACCCGCUGAACUUAAGCAUAUCAAUAAGCGGAGGA